CAACGUUCCAACUAACCAACCAUCUAACUAAACAAUACCUACCAACCAACCAAUCAACUAACUAGUUAACCAAAUAACCAAACAAUAGCAACACACUCCCUCAAACCUUCAAAAACAGAAGGUAGACAGGCAGGGAGACAUCUAUGCUUUGAAAGUGCCUAUGCCCACAGUUUACAGUUUAUAUUUACAAUACUUUAUUUUCCCAUUUCAUCGCUAAGAUACCAGAACAGCGAACUUUCUCAUUGGAGUAAUGGAAGGAAUUCUUUACUCUGGGAAUUAAUCAUUUUAACCUAAAACAACUCAUUGAGAUUGAACACUGAACUGUUGAGUUAGCCAUUAAGCACUAGUCACUCCCAAGAUGGAACCCUUGGUCUCAAGACCCUUGCCGAACAUAACUACAUUCCAUGCUCCUCGUUCUUUUUUUUUUUUAAGAUUUUAUUUAUUUAUUAUGUAUACAACAUUCUGCUUCCAUGUAUAUCUGCACACCAGAAGAGGGCACCAGAUCUCAUAAUGGAUAGUUGUGAGCCACCACGUGGUUACUGGGAAUUGAACUCAGGACCUCUGGAAGAGCAGUCAGUGCUCUUAACCUCUGUGCCAUCUCUCCAGCCCCAUGCUCCUCAUUCUUACCCAGUCCUGACCAACUUUCCUCCAAGAGACUACCAAGACAGAAAGUGGUCCCUCCACUUUUACCAAGCAUCCACGCAGGCUGGACCUAUACUGCUGGAAUCUCCACUUCUACUGAGCAUCCAUGAGGGCUGAACCUGUACUGCUGGAAUCUCCACUUCUACUAAGCAUCCAUGAGGACUGGUCUUAUACUCUUGGGAUUCAUGCUUUUUCAUGGCUGGUGACUUUGUAUGAGAGGUGCUGUGUGUGCUGGGAGGUAAGAUUCUCUUGUCAAGUUUGGGGAAGGCAAGAGAACCAGAUAUAGAUCCACUAACAUAACUGCACCUUGUAUACCUGCACAGCAAGUCAGAUGUCUAAUACAGUUUGGCACCUCCAGAGCAUCAGCUAUGGGAAGCUUGUGCAAGAGUCUCCUCUCUGGUCUUAUAAGAAGCAUUUUGGUCUUUUGUGGAUGAACAAGUAAGAGCAUAAGAACCCCAGGGCAAUUUCCCAUCACAUAUCUAGAGCUCAAGUUUCCUAAUCAUGUCAUUCUGAUCCAAUGUAAUUAUCUUUGCAGUGCCAAGUAUCAGUGUUUAUUCCCAAAGAAACCUAGAAUCCUAGGUACCAUAUGGGUAUGCUAAAUUUCCUGCUUGAUAGGAAUGUUGUUAUAUCUGGGUACUUUCUAGUGAAAUGGUGUCUUAGUUAGGGUUUCAAUUGCUGUGAAGAGACACCAUGACCACAGCAACUCUUAUAAAGGAAAACAUUUAAUGGGAUGGCUUAAAGUUUCAGAGGUUUAGUCCAUUUUCAUCAUGGCAGGACAUGGCACCGCAUGCAGGCAGACAUGGUGCUGGAGAAGGAGCUGAGAGUUAAUACAUCUUGAUUUGCAGGCAACAGGAAGUAAACUGAACUAGGUAUAGCUUGAGUGUAGGAGACCUCAAAGCCUGCCCCACAGUGACACACUUCCUCCAGAAAGGCCACACCUCCUAAUAGUGUCACUCCCUCUGAGCUUAUGGGAGCCAGUUAUAUUCAAACUACCACAGAUGGGGUUUUGUUUUGGGUCAGGCUAGACUAGACAUUCAGGACCGCCUGUCUGUCCACACAUUUCUGGUAGCUUAAGGACUCUAAUGAUUUGCUUUGGGGGGAAAUAGGCUGUCUUUGGUUUUGUGUUAGCUCUGUAAGAGAAUUCCAGGGAUGCUCCAAAUCACCUGAAACAUUCUUAUCCUUUGAAACAUUCUAGAAUGUUCAAUUUGGAUAAGAGGAUGUAGAGCUUAAUUGAAGCAAAGGUGACAUUUCUUGGGUGGCUGCAGGCUAGACCAGUUUUUCUUAUCUGUACCAUUCUCAUUUUUGCGGUCUCCUGAGACUUCCUUGAGGUUCAAAUGUGUGCUCCAAUGGACUAUGUAGUCCCUGGACAUAGCAAAAGAUGAUGAUCACUUGGCAGCAGUAGUUAUCGGAUAAAAUUAUCACCUUCUACUUUCUACCAGUUUAUGUAUGGUACACAGGAGGUUGUUAUUCAGGUCAAUAUUCCACACUGUCUGAAGUAAGACUUCAUUCUUGCUUUAUACACCACAUUAGGAACAAUAUAUGCACACUUACAUGUAGCUGUAGGGACCUCAAGAAACCUUGGUGGAAAUCAUACCAUUCACGUUUAUUAAACAAAUCACGUUUUAUUGUUUUCUUCUUUUAUAUUUACUGAAUGCAGUCCCAACUUAUUUUCAGAAGUCAUCCCAGAUACAAUCUUGUGUAGCACAGCAGUUGCAGCAACCUGGACUUUUAGCACAAUAAACCAAACCUUAUCAUAUUUGAGACA
rnacentral:lncRNA from 1 species